GCGGUUGUGGCGAAAUGGCAGACGCGCUACUUUGAGGGGGUAGUGCCCGUACGGGCGUGUGGGUUCAAGUCCCAUCAACCGCACCA
rnacentral:tRNA from 1 species